rnacentral:rRNA from 1 species
UACGUAGGGUGCAAGCGUUGUCCGGAAUUAUUGGGCGUAAAGAGCUCGUAGGCGGUUUGUCGCGUCUGCUGUGAAAACUCAGGGCUUAACCCUGAGCCUGCAGUGGGUACGGGCAGACUAGAGUGUGGUAGGGGAGAUCGGAAUUCCUGGUGUAGCGGUGAAAUGCGCAGGAUAUCAGGAGGAACACCGGUGGCGAAGGCG